UAGGGAAUCUUCCACAAUGGACGCAAGUCUGAUGGAGCAACGCCGCGUGAGUGAAGAAGGCUUUCGGGUCGUAAAACUCUGUUAUUGAAGAAGAACGUGUGUGACAGUAACUGGUCAUGCAGUGACGGUAUUCAAUCAGAAAGUCACGGCUAACUACGUGCCAGCAGCCGCGGUAAUACGUAGGUGGCAAGCGUUGUCCGGAUUUAUUGGGCGUAAAGCGAGUGCAGGCGGUCUUUUAAGUCNGAUGUGAAAGCCUUCGGCUUAACCGAAGA
rnacentral:rRNA from 1 species